AUUAAUACCAAUUCUCUGUAAUCAUCAAAGUUUUAAAAAAGAGGCAUGGCACGCAUAGUUUUGGAUUUACUCCAUAUUGAUAAAAUUUGAUAAGGGUCAUCAAAUAUAAAGAAAAAAAAUGUUAUUUACUUUGUUUGUAAAAUGGUUGCCAUGGUAACGCCACAUUCUAUUUUUAAGGGAAAAAUGCACCUUAAAUCUUUAAAAAUAAGCUAGUUUUGCCCG
rnacentral:lncRNA from 1 species